UUCUUCCAAACCCCUUCCCCACACCACAAUCUUCAAACAAGGUUUUCGUGUUGGCCAGUUUGGCUUCGUGUUGGUCUUCCCCUGCUUGGGCGAGCCAGGUGUCGAGGCGUAGAGGCGUGGAGGACUUAACUUAGUCACUGGAGUUUCUUUGGUAAACAUAGAGUGGAGAACAUUUUGUUUUUUUCAAGUUGUCAAAAAGCUGAAUACCUUUUGUUGUUCACCUCUAAAAAUGGGGAUUCGUAACUUUCGUCCACCAAAAUCGCGUGAAGAGUGUCUACUGCUCGAGUAGGCACAUUCGAACAAAUUUGGAGCAUUGGCUAUAAAACUGACAUGUUGAUUGUUGAUGGGAGUGUGUCAUCUAUAGUGUCGAAUUGGAUCUCCCUCUGGAUGCUUCCUGUAUCCAUGAAUUCCGAAUACCUCCUAAUCCUCUUAUAGGAUUGCAUUCGUAUUGUCCUUCCAUUUUUACGCUUUACAUGCGGUGCUUGUUGACGUAAGUGUACAUCCCAGUAUACUAAAAGUUGCCUCUCAUUCAUUUGCAUCAAAGCUACCCAGCAAUUCUGCCAACACUGAAAUCAUUGCAGAUAAAAGCAGCGAAGCCUCGAAUAAAUUUCUCCUUUAUAUACCACUUCCUGCUCCUACCCAACCAAGCCUCCAAUCAUGCCUCUCCACAUUCUGAUCACGGGCUUCCAAGCUGAAGGGUUCCACGAGCUACACGAGGGAGACCAUAUUCACUUUCCUGAACUUUGACUGAAAUAAAACCCAAGCGGGGAAACCAAAAAAGAAAAAAGAGAGGAGAGGGUCGUGAGAGGAGAAAAGAAGAAACAGGAGAAACGAAAAAGUCUCGAAACAAAGGAAGAGGAAAGCAAAAGAGCCUGAAAAAGAAGAAAAAUUAGAAGAAGCUUCAACGGGUAUGUCAUGAACUUGCAUGAAAUCAUUAUAUGUAUAUGUUAUGGAUUAGAUUCAUCUUAAUAGUUGAAAUGUGUUGUAAUGGAUGGAUUUCUGCUAAUGUUUAUGAUAUUGUUAUUGACUGUGAUAUUACAUUUCCUCCCUCACUCAUCAAUUCACGUUAUCUAUCCCUGGUACUCCAUCAUUCAUUUCAUAAUGCUUUCAUUCAUCGCUCUAUUUCAUUUAUCAUCAAACAUAGCCAUCAAAUUCAUUCUCAAUUCCUUUCAACACCAUCGGUGACCCUUCUCCAUGAUUCUGUAUCCUCUACCAAGUGAGAUACAACCUCACCUUCUUCUUUUAACCUCGAUUUCAUCUUUCCAACCUGCACAGAGAAGCCAUAUCCAGAGAACAAAAACAUUAGUGGAGGAAACUAGACAAUGCAUACUCAUUCAAAAUCAGAUUCAGCUCUUUGCAUGUUCAUGUUCGUUACUUAAUCCAAUCAGAAAAGAAAAUACAAAACAGAAUCUACUCCCAUCGUCUUCAUCAAAUUUUCCCAUCAACCACACCAUCUCCAAUUUCUUUCACCUGCAAAACGCUAAUCCAACCAUCCAAAUCACAGAUCAUCGGCACUUGAAACACAUAUUCAGAAAUCAAAACCACUGUUAGCAACCGUUACCGGUGCCGCCAUUCAGGAGCUCCUCACCGUGAGCCACCACCGAACCAACCAAAAGCCGCGAGCUCCUCCAUCGUGACUCUCCAACUCCGGCGAAGGAGCGAUUUGCUCGCGUUUGACAUUGAAGGCUAAGAAGGCCGCCGAGUUAUGGUGGCGUGACCCUUCUUCUACGGGAAAGGUGCAGCGUUGUUUGCAAGGUAGCGGCUGUCGUUGGUUAGAGGAUGAGCAAACCCUGCCUUCUUUGAA